CCCCCCCCCCCCCCCCCCACCGCCCCUUCCUUCUCCCCCUUGUAUCCCCGAGCCUCGGUGCCGAAGCUGGAACCGCCAACAAAGCUGCUCGCUGGAAAUGUGGUUUGCGGAGUCGCAGCCAUGGCGUCGCAAGGCAUCGACAUUAAAUAGAACGUAGAAGCAUAUUGUGGAUACAGUGCAGGCUCUAUAUUAUUGGCACCGGGCACUUACUGCAGCAAGGACAGCUACCCAUGGUGGAGGCAGUACCUUGGCAUCAGUGAGGCGUGCACGUGUGUAUCCAGGAAAACAAUCUGUUUUCUAGCUACAUGCUGUUCAAACAUCUGCAUGUAGUGGUCGUGCGGAUAUGUGAUGGUGGACUUCAGGGGAUUCUUUGUAAAUCUGCGAUCACUACUCUGAUCCUUCUUUUCUGGUGUGGAAGCUGAGACUGGUUCAGAUGAGUUCACUGGGCUGGAUCAGGAAUGAGGACCAUUUCUCUCCCACAACUGUGAGCCAGACCUCUGGAGACACCAGAUCUUUAUUUGUGGAGAUACGGUUUUCAGCUAGUGUUGCUUUACCUCUGAGGAGAAAGCUGAAUUUUGGAGGAACGCUGUAAAGUGGCGGGAGCCAUGACAUUCAAGCUGUGUAGCAAAGCUCAGGCUGGAAGAAGACCCCCACAAA